GAUGAACGCUGGCGGCGUGCUUAACACAUGCAAGUCGAACGGAAAGGCCCAAGCUUGCUUGGGUACUCGAGUGGCGAACGGGUGAGUAACACGUGGGUGAUCUGCCCUGCACUUCGGGAUAAGCCUGGGAAACUGGGUCUAAUACCGGAUAGGACCACAUUUUGGAUGGUGUGGUGGAAAGUUUUUCGGUGUGGGAUGAGCUCGCGGCCUAUCAGCUUGUUGGUGGGGUAAUGGCCUACCAAGGCGUCGACGGGUAGCCGGCCUGAGAGGGUGUACGGCCACAUUGGGACUGAGAGACGGCCCAGACUCCUACGGGAGGCAGCAGUGGGGAAUAUUGCACAAUGGGCGCAAGCCUGAUGCAGCGACGCCGCGUGGGGGAUGACGGCCUUCGGGUUGUAAACUCCUUUCGCUAGGGACGAAGCGUUAUGUGACGGUACCUGGAGAAGAAGCACCGGCUAACUACGUG
rnacentral:rRNA from 1 species